UCCUCAUUUGCUGCCUCUUAAAUACAUCUGAUCCUGCCUUAAUUCCUCCUAAAGCCCUCCCUGAGAGCUUUCAGGUGGCUGCUGGGGAGAGGUGCCCAUGAGCUGGGGUGACAGGCCAGCCAGGCACGUAUGACAGCCCUGGGCUGAGCAGUGCCUCCAGAGGGAUAUGAAGGGCUGCGGGCAGUGGUGGUGAUGAAGAGCCAUGUGCACCACCAUCCUGAUCCUGGGUCCACUGGUCCUCAUGCUGCGGCGCCGCUUCUGCAACAAAGUCGAACCGCACUCCGAGGGAGAGGAAGAGAUCGGGAGAGAGGCUGGCUCUGACCCUCACGCCACGUAACAGCGCUUCGGGGUAAAGCUCCCCUGCGCCCUGCAGCCAGCACCGAGCACAUCCCAGCCUCAGAACCUGCUGAAACCCUCGGCAAAAGAACCCAUGACAGCAAGAGUCCCACAUCACCCAGCUGCCUUCCCACAGCUCAGGGAGGACCAGGCUCUGGGCUGAACGCUGGGGCAGGAAGGAAAUUUGCCGUUCUGAGUCGGAGCCCUGGGUUGUGGCCAGCGGCCCCAGCUGUGGGCACGGAGCAAUCGGGGUCCUGCUCCCAGCCAUGGGGUUCUCACGUGCUCCACAGCUUUCCCGUGGAUAUAAAUCCAUUAAUAAAAGAUCAGUUUGCAGGCACAGCUCGCUGUAGAUGACAGCAUUAGAGGCACAUCGGUUUCUCCUAAGCACCAGUCUCGUGCUGGGUUUAUUUGGUCCAUUUGCGGCAGGGGAAGAGUUGCUUUCGGCAUUCCGUGAUGUCUUGUGUCUGGGAGAAGUAGUGGGGUGAGAUAUAUUUUUGGCUCUAUUUAGCCACAAAAAUUUGGGUUUAGAAUAAAGAGAAAUAUUCCUGUUUGCUGCCAAACUGAGGCAGACGAUUUCUUGUGCAAGCCUUCGUUUGUUUGAGGACUC